rnacentral:rRNA from 1 species
AGAGUUUGAUCCUGGCUCAGGAUGAACGCUAGCUACAGGCUUAACACAUGCAAGUCGAGGGGAAACGAUAUUGGAAGCUUGCUUCCGAUAGGCGUCGACCGGCGCACGGGUGAGUAACGCGUAUCCAACCUGCCCACCACUUGGGGAUAACCUCGCGAAAGUAAGACUAAUACCCAAUGACGUCUCUAGAAGACAUCUGAAAGAGAUUAAAGAUUUAUCGGUGAUGGAUGGGGAUGCGUCUGAUUAGCUUGUUGGCGGGGUAACGGCCACCAAGGCUACGAUCAGUAGGGGUUCUGAGAGGAAGGUCCCCCACAUUGGAACUGAGACACGGUCCAAACGUCCUACGGGAGGCA